rnacentral:rRNA from 1 species
ACGGGAGGCAGCAGUGGGGGAUAUUGCACAAUGGGGGAAACCCUGAUGCAGCGACGCCGCGUGAGCGAAGAAGUAUUUCGGUAUGUAAAGCUCUAUCAGCAGGGAAGAAAAUGACGGUACCUGACUAAGAAGCUCCGGCUAAAUACGUGCCAGCAGCCGCGGUAAUACGUAUGGAGCAAGCGUUAUCCGGAUUUACUGGGUGUAAAGGGAGCGUAGACGGUUUGCCAAGUCUGAUGUGAAAGGUGGGGGCUCAACCCCCAAACUGCAUUGGAAACUGGUAGACUAGAGUGUCGGAGAGGUAAGUGGAAUUCCUAGUGUAGCGGUGAAAUGCGUAGAUAUUAGGAGGAACACCAGUGGCGAAGGCGGCUUACUGGACGAUAACUGACGUUGAGGCUCGAAAGCGUGGGGAGCAAACAGGAUUAGAUACCCUGGUA